rnacentral:lncRNA from 1 species
GUCUAAGUAAUUAGAAGUGUUAUAUGCAAUAAAAUUAUUUAUAACUGUUUUGUUGUCUUCAUUCUAAAAAUAAAUAAAAUAUUAUCCUCGGUAUUGUGUCAUUUUUCUGUGUAUCGGGAGCCAUCAUUGAAUCAGUCAGCUUCAGUACCUGACUUUUCUCAUGUUUUCGUUUUUGUUUGUGUUUAAAUAAUCUAUCUUCUCUCUGUGAGUACUCUACACUUGUUAACUUGUUAAUUAAGGCCAUAGUAUUUUAAACUGUUGAUGACAACUGGCUUUAAUUGUAGUACAGCUUGAUACACGUGAUACUUUU